UUGACAUACCUUUCUUGCUUUACUCCAUUCAAGGGCUCAGACGACGGUGCAGACGCAGACGAUGCCGAGCCAGUUGAAGAUGAUCGGGGUGUUGAUGGUGACAAGACAACUUUAAACGAGGAUGCUGGUUCAGGAGCAACGACAAUGGGGAAAGGAUAUGGAAAUGGGUCCAAAAAGGUGCUGUGCAUCUACGCCCCCGACAAUCUACGGUACUGCGUUAGCCAGUUAAAGGAGCUUUGAAUAUUGAGAAAUGCCUGAUGACAUCAGCUACAUGUCGACCAUCCAAUUUUAAAAUGACUUAAUAAAUUUUUUCGUG